rnacentral:rRNA from 1 species
UCUGAAUCUGCGAACGGCUCCGCAAACCAGUUGUAAACCAAAGCAAGCAUACUCGGGGACUGCCCUUCACGGGGUGGGCUCGGGUGAUACGGAUAACCCUGGUAAUUCUGAGGCUAAUACGAGACUAUAAUCCCUGGCGGACCGGGCAACUGGGAAGCUGGGGGGCGUGCGAUCUAUUUGCAAGACGAUACCAGGAGGGGGUGCACGCUCUGACUGCGAUAAAGACGGUUCCGGUAAACCUUCGGGCGAGCUGGUUCCGAGCGGCUCUUGCGAUGUGCUUCUGACCUAUCAACUAGAUGGCAGCGUAACGGACAUGCCAUGGU